rnacentral:rRNA from 1 species
AUUGAACGCUGGCGGCAGGCCUAACACAUGCAAGUCGAGCGUGCGGCGGAAGGGUGAGUAAUGUAUGGGGACUGCCGGAUAGAGAGGGAUAAGAAAGGGAAACGGUGGCUAAUACCGCAUAAAGUGGGAUUAUGCAUAUGGGAGUAGAUAGUAGGUAAGGAAAUGGCUUACCUAGGAGACGAUCCCUAGCUGGGCUGAGCGGGUGAUCAGCCACACUGGGACUGAGACCCGGCCCAGACUCCUACGGAGGCAGCAGUGGGGAAUAUUACACAAUGGGCGCAAGCCUGAUGCAGCCAUGCCGCGUGUAUGAAGAAGGCCCUAGGGUUGUAAAGUACUUUCAGUCGAGAGGCGUUACCGACAGAAGAAGCCCCGGCUAACUCCGUGCCAGCCGCCGCGGUAAUAC